UCAUUAUUGUCGAGCCUUCGACUUUAGUCGAAAAAGCGAGACUAAGCGAUCCUACAUUCCGUCGUCGUCGGCGUCGUCGGCGGCGUCAACAAAUAUUCACUCUGUGGUUAAAGUUUUUGAAAUUUUAAUAACUUUCUUAAACUAUACUGGAUUUCUACCAAACUUUGACAGAAGCUUGUUUAUGAUCAUAAGGUAGUAUCCAAAAGUAAAUUUUGUAAAAAUAAAAUUCCAUUUUUUCCGUAUUUUACUAUAAAUGGACUUAGUUUUUUCUGCGAGGAA
rnacentral:lncRNA from 1 species